rnacentral:lncRNA from 1 species
UGUUGUGUUGACUCGCAACCUCAGGAACAGACACCAUGGUGCACCUAACUGAUGCUGAGAAGGCUACUGUUAAUGGCCUGUGGGGAAAGGUGAACCCUGUUGAAAUUGGCGCUGAGUCCCUUGCCAGCUCCUGGGCAAUAUGAUUGUGAUUAUGAUGGGCCACCACCUGGGCAAAGAAUUCACCCCGAGUGCACAGGCUGCCUUCCAGAAGGUGGUGGCUGGAGUGGCCAGUGCCCUGGCUCACAAGUACCACUAAACCUCUUUUCCUGCUCUUGUCUUUGUUCAAUGGUCAAUUGUUCCCAAGAGAGCUUCUGUCAGUUGUUGUCAAAAUGACAAAGACCUUUGAAAAUCUGUCCUACUAAUUAAAGGCAUUUACUUUCACUG